rnacentral:lncRNA from 1 species
GGUCACCAACUAGGGGCUGAGUAUUCAAGCCUCAGCCUAUGAGGAGCAUCUUGUUCACACCACUGCACUGGUGUGACCUACCGCGGUUAGCAUGGACUGGGACUGGCUAAAUAGACUUUGAGCAUCUAUAAUGCUACUCUCCUCUCUCUUUUAAGAUUUAUUUUAUAUGAGUACACUGUCGCUGUCUUCAGACACACCAGAAGAGAGCAUCGGAUCCCAUUACAGAUGGUUGUGAGCCUCCAUGUGGUUGCUGGGAAUUGAACUCAGGUCCUCUGGUAGAGCACUCAGUGCUCUUAACCACUGAGCCAUCUCUCCAGCCCUAUAAUGGUACUCUUAACAACACCCCCCCCCACACCCCGAGCUUAUUAUAUAGACCAUGUCUAAGGCACGUUGUUAAGUGGACAUAAAACCUGUAAGAGACUAUAGAGUGUGCUACCUUCUAUUAGUGGAAGUAGGGGGCACACAUAUGUGUGCAUUUGAGUGUGUGCAUGUGGAAUAUCUGGAAGGACACAGGGAACAGGGGUGCCGCCACCUCUGGAUGCUGAGGAAUAAGGGUCCAGGAGACACUGCAGCCCACACAUCUGUGCCUGUGGAAUACUGACGUGCAGGAAUGCUUUGCAUGUUGAGAGGUGACGUAAACCAAGUGCCACUGCCCACCCUUUCCUUCACUCUUUGCAGGCAGGCUGUAGCGCCACCAGGCUGCCCGGUGACGGGCAGACAAGCACCAGAGACGCCGCCUCGCAAGAGCCUCCCUCAUACCCUCCCAUCCAGGUCAUCCAGGCCAGAGUGUCUUCCAGCAGCUCCUCCGAGGUCUCCUCCAUCAACUCGGACCUGGAGGUACAGGGGCUGCCCUCGGGGAGGGCACGUGGGCAUGUCACCUACCAACGCUUGCUGGGGCCUCCUUGAGAUGGAACUGCUUUGUAAGCCUUGCCUUAUUAACCUCACAACUGCUAAUCAUGAGUGAAGCUCUCUGCAUGGCUAUGGAGGAGCUCUUCAAACUUGACGGGACUCAAACAGUUUCAUGGUUGAGCUGGUCAGGGAAACACCGAAUAUUGGGGUCCAGUUCUCAUAGACGGCUUGCACAUUCAGGUCCUUCCUAAGAAGAAACAGAAAACAUAAGUAAUAGGUCUCUUAAAAAGCCUCAGUGUUAUAGUUUAGGAUUAAUGGUUUAGGCUGUAACGCCAGGAUUCAUGUGGCUGAUGAUCAUGAGUUCAAAUCCAGCCUAGGCUCUAUUAGAACACUUUAGAAGGAAAGGAGAGAAGGAGGGAGGGAGAGAGAAAGGAAGGCAGGAAUCUUGCUUGGUACCAGUGUUUCCCAGCCCAUUUGACCAUAAAAGAGUUUCUUUACCCCAACGAACAGAGGCCUGUAAUGCUGGCCCUGACCCACACAGGCAGGACCUAUUGGAAGCAGCACACCCAGCCUCCAUCUUCUUUGUAUCUGAACAAAAUGUGCAUCACAUGAGGGAUCCACAAACUCCGAUGUGUCCUGUCGCUCUGAGUACCCAGCCCCAUUCAACCCCAUUCAGCAAGGGAGUUUGCGUCUGUCUGAGGACACAGGAGAUCAAAGGCAACACAGGCUCACACGUAUGUCAGAGAACCAGGCAGUCUGGCAUGUCUGGGGAAGGAAUGACUUCCUUUUUGUGUCCCAGCCUUUUGUGUGUUGAAAUCCUGUCUGUGAAACGAUGUACAUAAGCAGUACGUAAUGUUGAUCUGUGGUUUGGGUUUAGUUUGAUUUUUUUAAUGCCCUUAUUUGGCAAAAUAAUCGUUAUCUACCCAGAGUAUGAAGAUUAGUCAGAGUUAUACAGGACUCAAAAAUUCCAAACC